rnacentral:rRNA from 1 species
GACGGAGGAUGCAAGUGUUAUCCGGAAUCACUGGGCGUAAAGCGUCUGUAGGUCGUUCAUUAAGUCAACUGUUAAAUCUUGAGGCUCAACUUCAAAAUCGCAGUCGAAACUAUUAAACUAGAGUAUAGUAGGGGUAAAGGGAAUUUCCAGUGGAGCGGUGAAAUGCGUAGAGAUUGGAAAGAACACCAAUGGCGAAAGCACUUUACUGGGCUAUUACUGACACUGAGAGACGAAAGCUAGGGUAGCAAAUGGG